UGAGGAAUAUUGGUCAAUGGGCGGGAGCCUGAACCAGCCAAGUCGCGUGAGGGAAGACGGCCCUACGGGUUGUAAACCUCUUUUGUCGGGGAGCAAGAAAGGGUAUGCAUACCCUACUGAGAGUACCCGAAGAAAAAGCAUCGGCUAACUCCGUGCCAGCAGCCGCGGUAAUACGGAGGAUGCGAGCGUUAUCCGGAUUUAUUGGGUUUAAAGGGUGCGCAGGCUGUCUGUCAAGUCAGCGGUAAAAAUAGCGGGGCUCAACCCCGUCGAGCCGCUUGAAACUUGAACAGGCUGAGAGUGAGCGAGAAGUAUGCGGAAUGCGUGGUGUAGCGGUGAAAAUGCAUAGAUAUCACGCAGAACUCCGAUUGCGAAGGCAGCAUACCGGCGCUCAACUGACGCUCAGGCACGAAAAGCGUGGGUAUCGAACAGGAUUAGAUACC
rnacentral:rRNA from 1 species